rnacentral:rRNA from 1 species
GACGAACGCUGGCGGCGUGCCUAACACAUGCAAGUCGAACGGGACCGGGGGCAACUCCGGUUCAGUGGCGGACGGGUGCGUAACACGUGAGGAACAUGACUUUCGGUGGGGGAUAGCCGGCCCAACGGCCGGGUAAUACCGCGUACGACCUUUCGGGGACAUCCCCGGUUGGUGAAAGCAGCAAUGCGCCGAAAGAGUGCCUCGCGGCCUAUCAGCUAGUUGGUGGGGUAAUGGCCCACCAAGGCGACGACGGGUAGCUGGUCUGAGAGGAUGGCCAGCCACAUUGGGACUGAGACACGGCCCAGACUCCUACGGGAGGCAGCAGUGGGGAAUAUUGCGCAAUGGGCGAAAGCCUGACGCAGCGACGCCGCGUGUGGGAUGACGGCCAUCGGGUUGUAAACCACUGUCGGGAGGGACGAAUGCCCCGCAAGGGGAGUGACGGUACCUCCAAAGGAAGCACCGGCUAACUCCGUGC